rnacentral:rRNA from 1 species
UACAGAGGUCUCAAGCGUUGUUCGGAUUCAUUGGGCGUAAAGGGUGCGUAGGCGGCGCGGUAAGUCGGGUGUGAAAUCUCGGAGCUUAACUCCGAAACUGCAUUUGAUACUGCGGUGCUUGAGGACUGGAGAGGAGACUGGAAUUUACGGUGUAGCAGUGAAAUGCGUAGAGAUCGUAAGGAAGACCAGUGGCGAAGGCGGGUCUCUGGACAGUUCCUGACACUGAGGCGCGAAGGCCAGGGGAGCAAACGGG